rnacentral:lncRNA from 1 species
UUUAUCUCCCACUUUUUGUUGAAUAUUCUCAUAUACUGAACAUCAAUUGUCGGGGCUGUCUUCUCGAUCUGUUGCAUUUCAGAAUACCUAUUUCAGGAAGUAAGUCCAAUAUAUUACUUUGAGUUAAAAUAACCCUUUAUUUGAUCUGGCCACCUCCAGGCUCCAUCCAUAAAUAAUACUUUAGAUUUCCUAUGUCUUUGAUCUCACCUUUGCUAGCUUCUACAACUAAAUUUCCAUCUUUCCAUUUGAACCAUGCUUACUGAACAUGGUAUGGGCAUUUUGGUAUUUGAAGUAAUCAUAAGCUUUGACUUCUUUUGUAAACCUCGAACCAAGCUCGAGGGGAGUUUUUCAGUUUACACAUAAUUUCUUCUUGAGUUUUGAAUGCCAUGCAUUCAGUAGGAAUCUUCAUAUAAACCUUCUCAUUAGGAUUUCCUAGCUAGGAGUUUUCUGUAUGAUACCCAUCAUUGAAUAGGGUGUUUGGUACAAUAGGAACAUCUUGCUUAACAGGCUAAGUGGUCAUACCUUCUUCUGUUGAGGCAAGAGCCAACUUAGACGAUACAAGAUUUGUGUGGGUUUGCGUGUGUGUGUGUGUUCGCGCGUGCGCUACCGACUACUGUUGUAGGGGCAUCCUGCUUUUUACUUGAUAAGGUUAUUUGUGCGAAAUUGCUCCAGUUUCAGAGUUAGGACGACGUUGGAAAUAGAGUAAUCUCUUAUAGUUGACUCAGUUACGAAAUCGGG